rnacentral:rRNA from 1 species
UAGUAACUGCGAGUGAAGCGGGAAAAGCUCAAAUUUAAAAUCUGGCGGCUUUGGUCGUCCGAGUUGUAUCCUAGAGAAGUGUUUUCCGCGUUGGACCGUGUAUAAGUCUCUUGGAACAGAGCGUCAUAGAGGGUGAGAAUCCCGUCUUUGACACGGACUACCAAUGCUUUGUGAUACACUCUCAAAGAGUCGAGUUGUUUGGGAAUGCAGCUCAAAAUGGGUGGUAAAUUCCAUCUAAAGCUAAAUAUUGGCGAGAGACCGAUAGCGAACAAGUACCGUGAGGGAAAGAUGAAAAGCACUUUGGAAAGAGAGUUAAACAGUACGUGAAAUUGCUGAAAGGGAAACGAUUGAAGUCAGUCGCGUUAGCUAGAACUCAACCAGGCUUGCUUGGCGUAUUUUCUAGUUAACGGGCCAGCAUCAGUUUUGACCGCAGGAGAAAGGCCAGAGAAAUGUGGCACCCUCGGGUGUGUUAUAGUCUUUGGUCAUAUACUGCGAUUGGGACUGAGGUUCGCAGCACGCGCAAGCUGUGCUUAGGAUGCUGGCGUAAUGGCUUUAAACGACCCGUCUUGAAACACGGACCAAGGAGUCUAACAAACCUGCGAGUAUUUGGGUGGUAACCCGAGUGCGCAAUGAAAGUAAAGUUGGGAUCCCUGUCGUGGGGGAGCACCGACGCCCGGACCAGACCUUCUGUGACGGAUCUGCGGUAGAGCAUGUUUGUUGGGACCCGAAAGAUGGUGAACUAUGCCUGAAUAGGGUGAAGCCAGAGGAAACUCUGGUGGAGGCUCGUAGCGAUUCUGACGUGCAAAUCGAUCGUCAAAUUUGGGUAUAGGGGCGAAAGACUAAUCGAACCAUCUAGUAGCU